GCCCCCACCCGCCUGGCGAGAGAACCUUUCAUGUGGCAGAGAAGAGAUGCGAACGCACGGGCGCUGCCGCCCUGUGGCAAGGUGAGCCCAAGAGGGCGGAGCUGAGCAUGCCCAGUUCCUCCUGCCAAUCUCCCUCCUCAGAUCUGCAAUCCCGGCUCGUGGGGAGCGGCGAGAAGAUGCUGUGGGGAGAGAGGCCGUGACAUCGCGCGGGUGUAAGCGUGAAGCCAGGGGACGGGGCUCCUCUGACAGAAGCCCUUAGAUAUUCCUGAGAUCGUGUUUCCUGCAAGCGACGGGGGUCCUCGCUGAGUCUCAGGCGGGGCUAUUUCCCACCAAGGAAGAGGAGUUGGUGGUGCUGGGGGUGAUGCUGGCGGUGCUUUUGCGUCAUCUCGCGGGACUAACUCACACAGCAUGAGAUGAGCUCCAGCCGCUGGGCUGACUCACCAUCCUCCCCGGGGAUCUGCACCCCCAGACCUGCUGCCCCGCGGGUAGGAUUCAGAGCCUCAUGAUGGUGUGACCUCGGGGAGGUGGAAGGCGGUGUGACCGGAAAGGGGCAGGCCGAGGAGCAGGUGUUUCAAAUCCUGGCGAGUUCAAUUUCUUCACCUGGGUGGCGGUUACGUGGGAGCGAUUUUUACAACGUCGUACUCCUGCAAAUCAAGAUGGAGCCUCUGGUUCACACUUUUCAUUUAUGUCUCCCCUUAAUGUGUGGGUUAAAGUGAAGAUGAUAUUCUGCCUAAGAACUGACAAAGGAAAACAGAGAAACGACAUUCUGAAAAUUUUUGCCUUUUUAAAAAAAAUUGUUCAGAUUCCGUGAGAAGACGUAAUAUUUUUAGCCUCUACGGAGAGGAAAAGCAGAG
rnacentral:lncRNA from 1 species